rnacentral:lncRNA from 1 species
GGAAGAAGGCUGGUGACUGAGUCCUCGCCCCCCAUCUCCUAUGCCUGCACAGAGGAAGAACCCUUUGUAAACAUCAAGUGUCAUGACCAUCAGCCCCUGGCAAACAUCUGGUCUGCCUUCACUUGAGGACCAUUUUCAAUUACCUUGGGGAUAAGAAGAUUGGCCCUGAUGGAAAGUGAAUUGCUCAUGAGAUCCAGUCAAUGAAAGAAAAAGAGAAAACUGUACUUCAGCUCAGGAACUAGAAUAAAGUUUCCAAAAAAC